rnacentral:misc_RNA from 1 species
AAAAUGCGAUACUUGGUGUGAAUUGCAGAAUCCCGUGAACCAUCGAGUUUUUGAACGCAAGUUGCGCCCGAAGCCAUCCGGCUGAGGGCACGCCUGCCUGGGCGUCACGCAUCGCGUCGCUCCCCACCAUACCUCCCCAACGGGUUGGCAUGGUGUUGGGGGCGGAUAAUGGCCUCCCGUGCUUGUGUUUCGGUUGGCCUAAAUAAGAGUUCCCUUCGGCGGACACACGACUAGUGGUGGUUGAAUAGACCCUCGUCUUUUGUUGCGUGUCGUGAGCUGUAAGGGUAGCCCUCAUCAAAGACCCCAUUGUAUCGUCUUCGGAUGAUGCUUCGACCGCGACCCCAGGUCAGGCGGGACUACCCGCUGAGUUUAAGCAU